rnacentral:rRNA from 1 species
GAUGGACGCUGGCGGCGUGCCUAACACAUGCAAGUCGAGCGGCAGCGCGGGGUGCUUGCACCCUGUCGGCGAGCGGCGGACGGCUGAGUAACGCGUGGGAACGUGCCCCAAAGUGAGGAAUAACUGCCCGAAAGGGUAGCUAAUACCGCAUAUUAUCUUCGGAUCAAAGGAUUUAUCCGCUUUGGGAGCGGCUCGCGUCGGAUUAGGUAGUUGGUGAGGUAAUGGCUCACCAAGCCGACGAUCCGUAGCUGGUCUGAGAGGAUGACCAGCCAGACUGGAACUGAGACACGGUCCAGACUCCUACGGGAGGCAGCAGUGAGGAAUCUUCCACAAUGGGCGAAAGCCUGAUGGAGCAACGCCGCGUGCAGGACGAAGGCCUUCGGGUUGUAAACUGCUUUUAUAAGUGAGGAAUAUGACGGUAACUUAUGAAUAAGGAUCGGCUAACUACGUG